UAAUUUUUUUUGUGGAAAAGGAAAACACUGGGCUAAUCAAUGUCAUUCUAAAUUUGAUAAAGAUGGACAACCAUUGUCGGGGAAAUGGGAAGAGGGGCCAGCCUCAGGCCCCGCAACAAAUUGGGGCAUUCCGAUUCAGGGGUUUGUUCCUCAGGGUUUUCAGGGACAACAACCCCCGCAGGAAAUACCACCACCACUUCAGGGAGUCAGCCAAUUACAACAAUACAACAGCUGUCCCCCGCCACAGCAGGCAGCGCAGCAGUAGAUUUGUCUUCUACUCAAAUGAUUUUUUUACUCCCUGGAGAGCCCCUGCAAACGAUUCCUACAGGGGUACAUGGCCCGCUGCCAGAAGGGACGGUAGGCCUUAUUUUAGGGAGAUCAAGUCUAAAUUUGAAGGGAGUCCAAAUUUAUACUGGUGUAAUUGAUUCAGAUUAUAAAGGGGAAAUUCAGUUAGUGAUCAGCUCCACUGUUCCCUGGAGUGCCAAUCCAGGUGAUAGAAUUGCACAAUUACUGCUUUUGCCUUAUAUUAAAAUUGGGAAAAUCAAAACAGAAAGAACAGGAGGGUUUGGAAGUACCAACCCUGCCAGAAAAGCCGCUUAUUGGGCUAGUCAGGUCUCAGAGGAUAGACCCGUGUGUGCAGUCACUAUUCAGGGAAAGCAGUUUGAAGGAUUAGUGGAUACCGGGGCUGAUGGUGCUAUCAUCGCCUUAAAUCAAUGGCCCAAAAAUUGGCCUAAACAAAAGCCUGUUACAGGACUUGGCGUAGAUACCGCCUCAGAAGUGUAUCAAAGUGCCAUGAUUUUACAUUGUCUAGGACCUGAUGAUCAAGAAAGUACAGUUCAGCCUAUGAUCACUUCUAUUCCAAUUAAUUUAUGGGGCCUAGACUUGUUACAACAAUGGCAUGCAGCGAUUACUAUCCCAGCCUCCCAAUACAGCCCCACGAGUCAAAAAAUCAUGACUAAAAUGGGAUAUCUCCCUGAAAAGGGACUAGGAAAGAAUGAAGACAGCAUUAAAGUCCCAAUUGAGGCUGAAAAAAAUCAAAAAAGAAAAGGAAUAGGGUAUCCUUUUUAAGAGCGGUCACUGUAGAGCCUCCAAAACCCAUUCCAUUAACUUGGAAAACAAAAAAAACCUGUAUGGGUAAAUCAGUGGCUGCUACCAAAACAAAAGCUGGAGGCUUUACACUUAUUAGCAAAAGAACACUUAGAAAAGGGACAUACUGAGCCUUCAUUUUCGCCUUGGAAUUCUCCUGUGUUUGUAAUUCAGAAAAAAUCCGGCAGAUGGCGCAUGCUGACUGACUUAAGAGCCGUUAAUGCUGUAAUUCAACCCAUGGGGGCUCUCCAACCUGGGUUGCUCUCUCCAGCCGUAAUCCCAAAAGAUUGGCCUUCAAUUAUAACUGAUCUGAAGGAUUGCUUUUUUACCAUUCCUCUGGCAAAACAGGAUUUUGAAAAAUUUGUUUUUACUGUACCAGCCAUAAAUAAUAAAGAACCAGCCACCAGGUUUCAGUGGAAAGUGUUGCCUCAGGGAAUACUUAAUGGUCCAACUAUUUGCCAGACUUUUGUAGCUCAAGCUCUUCAGGCAGAGACAGUUUUCAGACUCUUAUAUCAUUCAUUAUGUUGAUGAUAUUUUGUGUGCUACAGAAAGGAGAGACAAAUUAAUUGACUGUUACACAUUUCUGCAGACAAGAGUUUGCAAAUGCAGGACAACAGCAUCUGAUAAGAUUCAAACCUCUACUCCUUUCCAUUACUUAGAAAUGCAGGUAGAGGAAAGGAAAAUCAAACCACAAAAAAUAGAAAUGAGAAAAGACCGGCCAGGCGCGGUGGCUCACGCUUGUAAUCCCAGCACUUUGGGAGGCCGAGGCGGGUGGAUCACGAGGUCAGGAGAUCGAGACCACGGUGAAAUCCCGUCUCUACUAAAAAUACAAAAAAAAUUAGCCGGGCGUGGUGGCAGGCGCCUGUAGUCCCAGCUACUCGGAGAGGCUGAGGCAGGAGAAUGGCGUGAACCCGGGAGGCGGAGCUUGCAGUGAGCUGAGAUUGUGCCACUGCACUCCAGCCUGGGCAACAGAGCGAGACUCCGUCUCAAAAAAAAAAAAAAAAAGGGCCGGGCGCGGUGGCUCACGCCUGUAAUCCCAGCACUCUGGGAGGCCGAGGCGGGCGGAUCACGAGGUCAGGAGAUCGAGACCAUCCUGGCUAACACGGUGAAACCCCGUCUCUACUAAAAAUACAAAAAAUUAGCCGGGCGAGGUGGCAGGCGCCUGUAGUCCCAGCUACAAGGGAGGCUGAGGCAGGAGAAUGGCGUGAACCCCGGGGGGCGGAGCCUGCAGUGAGCCGAGAUCGCGCCACUGCACUCCAGCCUGGGUGAAAGAGCGAGACUCCGUCUCAAAAAAAAAAAAAAAAAAAAAAGACACAUUAAAAACAUUAAAUGACUUUCAAAAAUUGCUAGGAGAUAUUAAUUGGAUUCAGCCAACUCUAGGCAUCUCUACUUAUGCCAUGUUAAAUUUGUUCUCUAUCUUAAGAGGGGAUCCAGAAUUGAAUAGUAAAAGAACAUUAACUCCAGAGGCAACUAAAGAAAUUGAAUUAGUUGAAGAAAAAUUUCGGUCAGCACAAGUAAACAGAAUAGAUCACUUAGCCCGACUCCAACUUUUGAUUUUUGCUACUGCACAUUCUCCAACAGGCAUUAUUGUUCAAAAUACAGAUCUUGUGGAGUGGUUCUUCCUUCCUCAUAGUACGAUUAAGACUUUUACAUUGAACUUGGAUCAAAUGGCUACAUUAAUUGGUCAGGCAAGAUUAUGAAUAAUAAAAUUGUGUGGAAGUGACCCAGAUAAAAUCAUUGUUCCUUUAAAUAAGGAACAGGUUAGACAAGCCUUUAUCAAUUCUGGUGCAUGGCAGAUUGGUCUUGCUGAUUUUAUGGGAAUUAUUGACAAUCAUUACCCCAAAACAAAAAUCUUCCAGUUUUUAAAAUUGACUACUUGGAUUUUUCCUAAAAUUACCAGACAUAAACCUUUAGAAAAUGCUCUGAGGGUGUUUACUGAUGGUUCCAGCAAUGGAAAAGUGGCUUACACCAGGCCAAAAGAACAAUUCAUUGAAACUCAGUAUCACUGGGCUCAAAGAGCAGAGUUGGUUGCUGUCAUUACAGUGUUACAAGAUUUUAAUCAGCCUAUUAACAUUGUAUCGAUUCUGCAUAUGUAGUACAGGCUACAAAGGAUGUUGAGACAGCCCUAAUCAAAUAUAGUAUAGAUGAUCAGUUAAACCAGCUGUUUGUUACAACAAACCAUAAGAAAAAGAAAUUUCCCAUUUUAUAUUACUCAUAUUCGAGCACAUGCUAAUUUACCAGGGCCUUUAACUAAAGCAAAUGAACAAGUUGACUUGCUAGUAUCAUCUGCAUUCAUGGAAGCACAAGAAUUUCAUGCCUUGACUCAUGUAAAUGCAACAGGACUAAAAAAUAAAUUUGACAUCACAUGGAAACAGGCAAAAAAUAUUGUACAACAUUACACCCAGUGUCAGAUUCUACGCCUGCCCACUCAAGAGGCAGGAGUUAAUCCCAGAGGUCUAUGUCCUAAUGCAUUAUGGCAAAUGGAAGUCACACAUGUACCUUCAUUUGGAAAAUUGUCAUUUGUCCUUGUGACAGUUGAUACUUAUUCACAUUUUGUAUGGGCAACCUGCCAGACAGGAGAAAAUACUUCCCACGUUAAAAGACAUUUAUUAUCUUGUUUUGCUGUCAUGGGAGUUCCAGAAAAAAUUAAAACGGAUAAUGGGCCUGGAUACUGUAGUAAAACAUUUCAAAAAUUCUUAAAUCAGUGGAAAAUUACACAUACAACAGAAUCCCUUGUAAUUCCCAAGGACAGGCCAUAAUUGAAAAAACCAAUAGAACACUCAAAGCUCAAUAGAGUAAACAAAAAAAGGAAAAAGUAAGGAGUAUAAUACUCCCCAGAUGCAACUUAAUCUAGAACUCUAUACUUUAAAUUUUUUAAACAUUUAUAGAAAUCAGACCACUACUUCUGCAGAAUAACAUUGUACUGGUAAAAAGAACAGCCCACAUGAAGGAAAACUGAUUUGGUGGAAAGACAACAAAAAUAAGACAUGGGAAAUAGGGAAGGUGAUAACAUGGGAGAGAGGCUUUGCUUGUGUUUCACCAGGAGAAAAUCAGCUUCCUAUUUGGAUACCCACUAGACAUUUAAAGUUCUACAGUGAACCCAUUUGAGAUGCAAAGAAAAGCGCUUCCGCGGAGACAAAAAACCCUCAAUUGAGCAUCAUCGAGUCGCCAGGUAAACAAAAUGGUGAUAUCAGAAGAACAGAUGAAGUUGCCAUCCACCAAGGAAGCGGAGCCACCAACUUGGGCCCAAUGAAAGAAGCUGACACAGUUAGCUAAAAAAGCCUAAAGAACACAAGGGUAACGUGAACUCCAGAGAAUAUGCUGCUUACAGCUUUGAUCAUUGUAUCAAUGGUAGCAAGUCUGCACAUGUCUGCAGGAGCAGCUGCAACUAAUUAUACUUACUGUGCCUAUGUGCCUUUCCCUCCCUUAAUUUGGGCAGUCACAUGGAUGGAUAAUCCUAUUGAAGUAUAUGUUAAUAAUAGUGCAUGGGUACCAGGCCCCACAGAUGAUCGUUGCCCUGCCCAACCUAAAGGAGAAGGAAUGAUGAUAAAUGUUUCCACUGGGUAUCAUUAUCCUCCUACUUGCCUAGGGAAGGCACCAGGAUGUUUAAUGCCUACAACCCAAAAUUGGUUGGUAGAAGUACCUACUGUCAGUGCCACCAGUAAAUUUACUUAUCACAUGGUAAGUGGAAUGUCACUCGGGCCACAGAUAAAUAAUUUAGAGGACGCUUCUUAUCAAAGAUCAUUAAAAUCUAGGCCUAAGGGGAAGCCUUGCCCCAAGGAAAUUCCCAAAGAAUCAAAAAGCCCAGAAGCCUUAGUUUGGGAAGAAUGUGUGGCUAAUACUGCGGUGGUAUUACAAAACAAUGAAUUUGGAACUAUUAUAGACUGGGCCCCUCGAGGCCAAUUAUAUUAUAAUUGUAUGGGGCAAACUCACUCAUGUUCACAGGCCCCAUCCAUCUGGCCCAUUAAUCUGGCCUAUGAUAGUGAUUUAAUUUGAAAGGCUGGACCAGGUUUAUAGAAGGUUAGAAUCACCCUAUCCAUGGAAAUGGGGUGAAAAGGGAAUUUCAUCACCUUGACCAAAGUUAGUUAGUCCUGUUACUGGUCCUAAACAUCCAAAAUUAUGGAAGCUUACUGUGGCCUCGCACCACAUUAGAAUUUGGUCUGGAAAUCAAGUUAUAGAAACAAGAAAUUGCAAGCCAUAUUAUACUAUCAACCUAAAUUCCAAUCUGACAAUUCCUCUACAAAGUUGUGUAAAACCCCCUUAUAUGCUAGUUACAGAAAACAUAGUUAUUAAACCAGAUUCCCAAACUAUAACCUGUGAAAAUUGUAUAUUGUUUACUUGCAUUGAUUUGACUUUUAAUUGGCAGCACCAUAUUCUGCUAGUGAGGGCAAGAGAAGGUGUGUGGAUCCCUGUGUCCAUGGACCGACAGUGGGCGGCUUCGCCAUCUUCCAUAUUUUAACGGAAGUGUUAAAAGGAAUUCUACCUAGAUCCAAAAGAUUCAUUUUUACUUUGACUGCAGUGAUUAUGGGCCUUAUUGCAGUCACAGCUACUGCUGCAGCUGCUGGAAUUGCUUUACACUCCUCUGUUCAAAUUGCAGAACAUGUAAAUGAUUGGCGAAAGAAUUCCUCAAAAUUGUGGAAUUCUCAGACCCAAAUAAAUCAAAAAUUGGCAAACCAAAUUAAUGAUCUUAGACAAACUGUCAAUUGGCUGGGAGAUAGGCUCAGGAGCUUGGAAUAUCUUUUUCAGUUGCAGUGCGACUGGAAUAUGUCAGAUUUUUGUAUUAAUCCCGAGCCUAUAAUGAGUCUGAGCAUCACUGGGACAUGGUUAGAUGCCAUCUACAAGGAAGAGAAGAUAAUCUUACUUUAGAUAUUUCAAAAUUAAAAGAAGGAAAUUUUGAGGCAUCAAAAGCCCAUUUAAAUUUGGGAACUGAAGCAAUCGUGAAAUCUGCUGAUGGCCUCACAAAUCUUAACCGUCACUUGGUUAAAAACCAUCAGAAGUUUCACUAUUGUAAAUUUCAUAUUAAUCCUUGUACGCCUGUUCUGUCUGUUGUUAGUCUACAGGUGUAUCCAGCAGCUCCAAAGAGACAGCGACCAGCAAGAACAGGCCAUAAUGACGAUGGCAGUUUUGUCAAAAAGGGGGAUAUGUAGGGAAAAGAAAGAGAGAUCAGACUGUUACUGUGUCUACAUAGAAAAGGAAGAAAUAAGAAACUCCAUUUUGAUUUGUACCCUGAACAAUUGUUUUGCCUUGAGAUGCUGUUAACCUGUAACUUUAGUCCCAACCUUGUGCUCACAGAAACAUGUGUUGUAUGGAAUCAAGGUUUAAGGGAUCUAGGGCUGUGCAGGAUGUGCCUUGUUAACAAUAUGUUUGCAGGCAGUAUGCUUGGUAAAAGUCAUUGCCAGUUUCCAUUCUCGAUUAACCAGGGGCACAAUGCGCUGCGGGAAGCCACAAGGACCUCUGCCCAGGAAAGCCGGGUAUUGUCCAAGGUUUCUGCCCACUGAGACAGACUGAGAUAUGGCCUCGUGGGACGGGAAAGACCUGACCGUCCUCCAGCCUAACACCCGUGAAGGGUCUGUGCUGGGGAGGAUUAGUAAAAGAGGAAGGCCUCUUGUGGUUGAGAUAAGAGGAAGGCCUCUGUCUCCUGCAUGCCCCUGGGAAUGGAAUGUCUCGGUAUAAAACCCGAUUGUACAUUCGUUCUAUUCUGAGAUAGGAGAAAACUGCCCUGUGGCUGGAGUCUCUCGUCCCACCUGACGAGAAAUACCCGUAGGUAUGGAGGGGCAGGCCACCCCUUCAAAAUUCUUUAUUAUACGACAUUCAGUAUGGUCAGUUUCCUCCAGACUGGCUUCUCAAGCUUUUACCAAGUGCCCCCUACCCCAACUUUUUUUUUUUUGACAGAGUCUCUGUUGCUCAGGCUAGAGUGCAGUGGAACAAUCUUGGCUCACUGCAGCCUCGACCUCCUGGGCUCAAGUGAUCCUCCAGCCUCAGCCUUCCGAGUAGCUGGAACUACUGGUGUAUGCCACCACAUCCAGCUAAUUUUUGUUUUUGGGGGGGUCUCACUAUGUUGCCCAGGUUGGUCUUGAACUCCCGGGUUCAAGUGAUCCUCCUGCCUUGGCCUCUCCCAAAGUGCUGGGAUUAUAGGGGUAAGCCACUGCACCCGGCCUACCCCAACUUUUUAUUUUGACAAGUUUCAAACCCUCAUGUGGAUUCACUAAUUCUUAGCAAUUUUGCCACAUUUGCUUUCUCUCUGUCAUCAUGACAUGUCACCUUUAAAUACUUCAGAAUGUGUCUGCUAUGAACAAGGUAAUUCCCACACAUAAGCACAAUUAUCACACUUGAUAAAUUUAACAUUGAUAUAUCGCUGUCAUCUAAUAUAUGGAUCAUAUUCAAAUUUCCCUAAGGGUAAAAUGUCCUUUAGAGCUGAUCUCCCCUACACAAUCUUGCGUCUAAUCCAGGAUCACUCAUUGUAUUUAUUUAUUUAUAUUUUAUUUUAUUUUUGGAGACAGAGUUUCUCUCUGUCUUCCAGUCUGAAGUGCUGGCAAUCAUAGCUCAGUGCAACCUCCACCUCCCCGGGUUCAAGCGAUUCUUUGACCACUGCCUCCAGAAUAGCUGGGACUACAGGUGCCCACCACCAUGCUUGGCUAUUUUUUUUUUUUUUUUUUUGUAUUUUUAGUAGAGAUGGGGUUUUGCUACAUUGCCCAGGCUGGUCUUGAAUUCCUGAGUUCAAGCAAUCCGCCCACCUCGGCCUCCCAAAGUGCUGGGAUUAAAGGCAUGAACCACUGUCUCUGGCCUGUAUUUAUUUUUUAUGUCUCCUUUAAUCUGGGGUAGUUCUUAGCUUUUUCUUUAUCUUUUAUAACAAUGACAUCUGUAAGGUGUCCGGACCAAUCAUUUUGCAGAAUCUCUCUCACUUUGGUCUCUAUUUCCUCAAGACUAGGUGGUGAGUGAACAUUUUUUGGGCAUUUUGGGGAGGACUUCUACAGAAGAUAUGUUGUAUCCUUCCCAGUGCAUCACAUCAGGAGGCACACGAGGCCAGUUUGUCCUAUUAAGUUUUUCUUUUUUUGUGACUGAGUCUCACU